CAACUACUCCCUCCGUCCCAAAAUUCGUGUCUUAGAUUUGUCUACAUCCGUAUCUAGACAAAUCUAAGACAAGAAUUUUGGGACGGAGGGGGAACUUU
rfam:Triticum aestivum genome assembly, contig: Triticum_aestivum_CS42_TGACv1_scaffold_036177_1BL